rnacentral:rRNA from 1 species
CAGCAGCCGCGGGAAUACGAAGGUCCCGAGCGUUGUUCGGAAUCACUGGGCGUAAAGGGAGCGUAGGCGGCGUGGUAAGUCAGAUGUGAAAUCCCGGGGCUCAACCCCGGAACUGCAUCCGAUACUGCCAUGCUAGAGGAUUGGAGAGGUAGCUGGAAUUCUUGGUGUAGCAGUGAAAUGCGUGGAGAUCAAGAGGAACACUCGUGGCGAAAGCGAGCUACUGGACAAUAACUGACGCUGAGGCUCGAAGGCCAGGGUAGCGAAAGGGAUUAGAUACCCGCGUAGUCCCUGUCUCUUAUAC